AGGACGAACGCUGGCGGCGUGCCUAACACAUGCAAGUCGAGCGGAAAGGCCUCCUUCGGGAGGUACUCGAGCGGCGAACGGGUGAGUAACACGUGGGCAACCAACCCCUCACAUCGGGAUACCCCGGGGAAACUCGGAUCAAUACCGGAUAAUGCGCGACGCUGUUGGGCGUCGCACCAAAGGUAGCUUCGGCCUCUGGUGAGGGACGGGCCCGCGGCCCAUUAGCUUGUUGGUGGGGUAAUGGCCUACCAAGGCAACGAUGGGUAGCUGGUCUGAGAGGAUGAUCAGCCACACUGGGACUGAGAUACGGCCCAGACCCCUACGGAGGCAGCAGUGGGGAAUAUUGCGCAAUGGGCGGAAGCCUGACGCAGCAACGCCGCGUGCGGGAGGAAGGCCUUCGGGUCGUAAACCGCUUUCGAGGGGGACGAAGCCACCGAGGGUUAAUAGCCCAUGGGGUGACGGUACUCCCAGAAGAAGCCCCGGCUAACUACGUGCCAGCAGCCGCC
rnacentral:rRNA from 1 species